CCCUUAGAUGUCCUGGGCCGCACGCGCGCUACACUGACAUGUUCAACAAGCCUCCUAGUUCGACAGGAUUUGGGAAAUCUUUGAACGCAUGUCGUGAUAGGGAUAGAUCAUUGCAAUUAUUGAUCUUGAACGAGGAAUUCCCAGUAAGUGCGGGUCAUCAGCUCGCGUUGAUUACGUCCCUGCCCUUUGUACACACCGCCCGUCGCUGCCCGGAACUGAGCCGUUUCGAGAAGACUGAGGAUUGCUGACUUGAGGCCUUCACGGGCUUCUAGUCGGUGAAAAUCAAUUUAAUCGCAGCGGCUUGAACCGGGCAAAAGUCGUAACA
rnacentral:rRNA from 1 species